rnacentral:rRNA from 1 species
UACAGAGGUCUCAAGCGUUGUUCGGAUUCAUUGGGCGUAAAGGGCGCGUAGGCGGCCACGACAAGUCACUUGUGAAAUCUCCGGGCUUAACUCGGAACGGUCAAGUGAUACUGUCGGGCUAGAGUGCAGAAGGGGCAACUGGAAUUCUCGGUGUAGCGGUGAAAUGCGUAGAUAUCGAGAGGAACACCUGCGGCGAAGGCGGGUUGCUGGGCUGACACUGACGCUGAGGCGCGAAAGCCAGGGGAGCGAACGGG